CCAGAUGGAGGCGAUGUGUGGGAGCGGCGGUGACGUCAGCGAGGAUGUGGCUCGCCGCUCCCUCUCACUCUACCUCCUCCUCCUGCGUGAUCCUUGCCUGCCCCUGCACUUCAAGUGCCAGGCCUUGGCACUCAUCCCUGCUUUCUCCAGACUGCCCGCCAACACAGAACAACAACAACAACAACACCAACAACAACA